UCUAAUGACCGAAUCACCCCAACUGCGCCUGAUCUCGUCAGAUCUGGGAAGCUAAGCGAAAGUUGAGCCCGGUCAUUGCUCGAACGGGAGACUGCCUGUGAAUCGCGGGUGUUGUAGGCU
rnacentral:rRNA from 1 species